CAGUUUGUGAAGUCUAUAAGAAAAAUAUGAAGUCAGACAUCAAAAUAAGUUUAAAAGGCAGCAGAAAUCGAAACAAGUUUUCACCAAUCAUCAUAGAUCACAUCUCUAGGUAUAACGUUUCACAUAGCUUGGACUCACUAAGCAUAAAUCAAAUCCAGCUACAAAAUUCUCAUCAAACACUAUAUGCUUUUAAGUCAAUUUAAAUUUAAAACCCCCAAAGAAAGAGCGUUUUGGCAAUGUCUCAUUUAGCAGCGGUUGACUACAGUUCAGCUAACAGGCUGCUGAUUCCCGUAGCCAUUAGAGGCUGCUCCAGCAGCAUACAUGCCAGAAUCCUGAUUUUGUGAUGCGCCAUAUCCAUAUCCUCCAUAAUUUUGCCUUCCAUAAUAGCCGCCCCCAUUACCAGAAUCACUUCUCAUCUGCUUGUUUGCUGGACUACGCCCCCAGGAAAGACGAACUGCCUGCUUGCCAAUUACAGCCCCACUCAAUUUUUGUAUCGCCUCCUGAGCAGAGCUCCUGUCAGAAAAUUGUACAAAACCACAUCCUUUUCCGGCAGGUAUUUUCACAGAGACCACUUCCCCAAACUGAGUAAAGGACUGCCUCAGUUCCUCGUCAGUGACAUCAGAAUCAAGUCCUCCAACAAAAAUUGUCGUGUUUGAUGAAUCACCAUCAGACUGGGAUCCAUGGGUUGCAGCACCAUUUGAUGCAUAUCCACCAGAUAAUAUCACAGCUUGAGAAGAAAAUUGUUGCUGUGCUGAUGGUUUCUUUGGGGUAGCAACACCAACACGCAUGGGCCUGCUGGAACAAUAUAUACCAUUCAUUUCAGUCAUGGCCCGAGACCUCUCGCUUUCAUCACCAAACCUUACAAAGCCAUAGCCUUUUGAGUGGCCUGUGUUCGCAUCUACUACUACUUUUGCACCUUUAACAGAUGGAUAUCUACUAGCGAAUGUGUCACGUAACAUUGUGUCAGUAACAUCAGAGGCCAAAUCUCCUACAAAAAUUGAGAAAUCAGAACCAGUUUCUGCACGCUUUUCACCAGCGCUGAAGGCUGCCCAAUUUAAGCGGAAAGGUUGCUCGGCAUUUGGCAUCAUUGUGCCAUUGUAGCUCUGUAGCACUUUUUCCGCUGCUGCGUGACUAUUGAACUCAACAAAUCCAUAACGCUCUGACUGACCAGUUUGCUUGUUUCGAAUAAUUUUCACAGAAAUAACCUCGCCAGCAUGAGAAAAGCAUGAAUGAAGAUAACUCUCAUCCAUCCACUGUUGAAGAUCACCAAUCCAGAUCGUUUUGUUAUCUUCAGAUGAGUUCUGAAUCUGAGUCGGCGGCUGUUGCAUCUUCUGUUGAUGGUAGUAAGGCAUGUAUUGCUGACCAUACAUCAUCUGUUGCUGCAUAGCCAUUGCUGCUGCUGGAUACUGCAUCGCCAUCCAUUGUUGCUGAUACUGCUGCAUCGCCACCCACUGUUGCUGCUGCUGCUGUUGUUG
rnacentral:misc_RNA from 1 species